GGCUCGGUGGUGUAGUUGGUUAUCACGUCAGUCUAACAUUCUUCGGGAUGAAGUGCACUGAAGGUCCCGAGUUCAAACCUCGGCUGAGUCA